AUUGAACGCUUGCGGCAUGCCUUACACAUGCAAGUCGAACGGUAACGGGUCCUUCGGGAUGCCGACGAGUGGCGAACGGGUGAGUAAUAUAUCGGAACGUGCCCAGUAGUGGGGGAUAACUGCUCGAAAGAGCAGCUAAUACCGCAUACGACCUGAGGGUGAAAGGGGGGGAUCGCAAGACCUCUCGCUAUUGGAGCGGCCGAUAUCAGAUUAGCUAGUUGGUGGGGUAAAGGCCUACCAAGGCAACGAUCUGUAGUUGGUCUGAGAGGACGACCAGCCACACUGGGACUGAGACACGGCCCAGACUCCUACGGGAGGCAGCAGUGGGGAAUUUUGGACAAUGGGCGCAAGCCUGAUCCAGCAAUGCCGCGUGCAGGAAGAAGGCCUUCGGGUUGUAAACUGCUUUUGUCAGGGAAGAAAUCUUCUGGGCUAAUACCCCGGGAGGAUGACGGUACCUGAAGAAUAAGCACCGGCUAACUACGUGCCAGCAGCCGCGGUAAUACGUAGGGUGCGAGCGUUAAUCGGAAUUACUGGGCGUAAAGCGUGCGCAGGCGGCUUUGCAAGACAGAUGUGAAAUCCCCGGGCUCAACCUGGGAACUGCAUUUGUGACUGCAAGGCUAGAGUACGGCAGAGGGGGAUGGAAUUCCGCGUGUAGCAGUGAAAUGCGUAGAUAUGCGGAGGAACACCAAUGGCGAAGGCAAUCCCCUGGGCCUGUACUGACGCUCAUGCACGAAAGCGUGGGGAGCAAACAGGAUUAGAUACCCUGGUAGUCCACGCCCUAAACGAUGUCAACUGGUUGUUGGACGGCUUGCUGUUCAGUAACGAAGCUAACGCGUGAAGUUGACCGCCUGGGGAGUACGGCCGCAAGGUUGAAACUCGAAGGAAUUGACGGGGACCCGCACAAGCGGUGGAUGAUGUGGUUUAAUUCGAUGCAACGCGAAAAACCUUACCUACCCUUGACAUGUCAAGAAUUCUGCAGAGAUGUGGAAGUGCUCGAAAGAGAACUUGAACACAGGUGCUGCAUGGCCGUCGUCAGCUCGUGUCGUGAGAUGUUGGGUUAAGUCCCGCAACGAGCGCAACCCUUGUCAUUAGUUGCUACGCAAGAGCACUCUAAUGAGACUGCCGGUGACAAACCGGAGGAAGGUGGGGAUGACGUCAGGUCCUCAUGGCCCUUAUGGGUAGGGCUACACACGUCAUACAAUGGCCGGUACAGAGGGCUGCCAACCCGCGAGGGGGAGCCAAUCCCAGAAAACCGGUCGUAGUCCGGAUCGUAGUCUGCAACUCGACUGCGUGAAGUCGGAAUCGCUAGUAAUCGCGGAUCAGCUUGCCGCGGUGAAUACGUUCCCGGGUCU
rnacentral:rRNA from 1 species